rnacentral:rRNA from 1 species
AGUGAACGCUGGCGGUAGGCCUAACACAUGCAAGUCGAACGGCAGCACAGGAGAGCUUGCUCUCUGGGUGGCGAGUGGCGGACGGGUGAGGAAUACAUCGGAAUCUACUCUGUCGUGGGGGAUAACGUAGGGAAACUUACGCUAAUACCGCAUACGACCUACGGGUGAAAGCAGGGGAUCUUCGGACCUUGCGCGAUUGAAUGAGCCGGUGUCGGAUUAGCUAGUUGGCGGGGUAAAGGCCCACCAAGGCGACGAUCCGUAGCUGGUCUGGUGGGAUGAUCUGCCACACGGGAACAGAAACACGCACAAGGCUCCAACGGGAGGAGGCGGUGGGAAAUUUGGGACAGUGGGCUCAGGCCUGAUCCACCUAUCCGGGGUGGGAAAAGAAGGCUUUACGUUUGUAACGCCCUUUUGUUGGGAAAGAAAGCCGGCGGGCUAAACCCCGUUUGGGAGGACGUUACCAAAAGAAAAAGCCCCGGCUAACUUCGUGCAAGCAGCCGCGGUAA